rnacentral:rRNA from 1 species
AUGGAUAGUGCGAUCUUAAGCAGGAAUGUAAGAGUCCUAAACAAUCCCGCGGGACACCGAGUUGUUGCUGGCGUUGUUCGAGAUCACCACUGUAAGCUUGUCUGUCUGCAAGAGACAAAGCUGGAUUCUAUCUCUAACAGCAUCAUCGCCGAAACUUUGGAUCCCUCCUUCAUGGACAACUUUGUUUUCCUUCCUGCUGUUGGCACCAGAGGGGGCAUCCUCAUUGCCGCCUCCUCUGAUGACAUCAAAGUUACUCCGCAACCGCUGUUACAGGGGACUUUCUCAGUGUCCGCGUUGAUCACCGACCUCUGCUGCAACUCGCCUUGGCUAUUGACAGGGGUCUACGGCCCACAAUCUGACGAGGACAAACUCAACUUCUUGAAUGAGAUCAGACACAUCAAAGCCUUGGCUCCGUCUGAAUGGGUUGUACUUGGAGACUUUAACCUUAUUAGCCGUGCAUCCGAGAAGAGCAACAGCAAUAUCAACCUUCGUAUGAUCCGUGCCUUUCGUGCCGCCAUUGAUGAUCUG